rnacentral:rRNA from 1 species
GACGUAGGAUGCGAGCGUUAUUCGGAUUUAUUGGGCGUAAAGCGUGCGUAGGCGGCUGUUUAAGUCUGGUGUUAAAGCUAGGGGCUCAACCCCUGUGGUGCACUGGAAACUGGGCAGCUUGAGUGCGGUAGGGGAAGGUGGAAUUCCUGGUGUAGCGGUGGAAUGCGCAGAUAUCAGGAGGAACACCGAUGGCGAAGGCAGAUCUCUGGGACGUUACUGACACUGAGGCGCGAAAGCGUGGGGAGCGAACAGG